rnacentral:snRNA from 1 species
UUGCUUUGGCAGCACAUAUACCAAAAUUGGAAUGAUACAGAGAUUAGCAUGGCCCCUACACAAGGAUGACACACAAAUUCAUUAAAAAAAAAUAAAAUAG